rnacentral:rRNA from 1 species
GGAUAGCGGAGAAAUUCCAAUCGAACUCGGAGAUAGCUGGUUCUCCUCGAAAUAGUUUUAGGACUAGCCUUGUUUAGUAGUAUGUGGGGGUAGAGCACUGAAUGAGCUAGGGGCCAAACCAGGUUACUGAACUCUAUCAAACUCCGAAUACCAUGUACGUAAGAACAGGAGUCAGACUGCGGGAGCUAAGUUCCGUGGUCAAAAGGGAAAGAGCCCAGAUCGUCAAUUAAGGUCCCAAAGAUAUAGUUAAGUGGAAAACGAUGUGAUUUUGCGUAAACAACCAGGAUGUUGGCUUAGAAGCAGCCAUUCAUUUAAAGAGUGCGUAAUAGCUCACUGGUCGAGUGGAGUUGCGCGGAAAAUUACCGGGGCUAAACUAUACACCGAAAUUGCGGAUUCAUGAGUAAUCAUGAGUGGUAGAGGAGCAUUCUAUAGUAGGACGAAGGUAGAUCGAAAGGACUGCUGGACGAGAUAGAAGAGAGAAUGCCGGAAUAAGUAGCGAAAGCAUGGUGAGAAUCCAUGCCAUCGAAAGUCUAAGGUUUCCUGGGGAAGGUUCGUCCGCCCAGGGUAAGUCGGGACCUAAGGAGAGGCCGAAAGGCGUAUCUGAUGGACAGCAGGUAGAAAUUCCUGCACCACCGAUAUACUUAAAAAAUGCAAGGGACACAGUAGUGGAAGGAAAGCGAGGAAGAGGAAAGACUCGUAUCGAAAGAUAUAGUGAAAAAAUAAGUAACGAAUUUCCAAGAAGCACACUGGCGAGAAAAGCUUGUAGGAAUUGUAUAAAGGUGCCCGUACCGCAAACCGACACAGGUAGAUGAGGAGAGGAUCCUAAGAUGAGCGAGAGAAGCAUUGUUAAGGAACUCGGCAAAUUGACCCCGUAACUUAGGGAGAAGGGGUGCCAAAGUAAAAUUUGGUCGCAGAGAAGAGGCCCAAGCAACUGUUUAACAAAAACACAGGUUUCUGCUAAAUCGAAAGAUGAAGUAUAGGAGCUGACGCCUGCCCGGUGCUGGAAGGUUAAGGGGAAGAGUUAGAUGUAAGUCGAAGCUUAGAACCAAAGCCCCAGUGAACGGCGGCCGUAACUAUAACGGUCCUAAGGUAGCGAAAUUCCUUGUCAGGUAAGUUCUGACCCGCACGAAAGGCGUAAUGAUUUGGGCGCUGUCUCGACAAUGUACUCGGCGAAAUUGUAGUACUAGUGAAGAUGCUAGUUACCUGCGACAAGACAGAAAGACCCCAUGGAGCUUUACUGUAGCUUGAUACUGGGUUUCGAUAAUUUAUGUACAGGAUAGGUGGGAGGCGAAGAAGCAAUUGCGCCAGCAGUUGUGGAGUCAUCCUUGGGAUACCACCCUUAAGUUAUUGAAAUUCUAACCUGUAGUCCUGAGCGGGCUAGGGGACAAUGUCAGGCGGGCAGUUUGACUGGGGCGGUCGCCUCCAAAAGAGUAACGGAGGCGCGCAAAGGUUUCCUCAGCGCGGACAGAAAUCGCGCGAAAGAGUGCAAAGGCAGAAGGAAGCUUAACUGAGAGACUGACAAGUCGACCAGAUACGAAAGUAGGUCUUAGUGAUCCGGCGGUAGUGAGUGGAAAUGCCGUCGCUCAACGGACAAAAGUUACCCUGGGGAUAACAGGCUUAUCUCCCCCAAGAGUUCACAUCGACGGGGAGGUU